ACGGAGGGUGCGAGCGUUAAUCGGAAUCACUGGGCGUAAAGCGCACGUAGGCGGUGUCGUAAGUCGGAUGUGAAAGCCCUCGGCUCAACCGGGGAACUGCAUUCGAUACUGCGACGCUUGAGUGCCGGAGAGGGUGGCGGAAUUCCAGGUGUGGGAGUCGGGGGCGGGGAGCUGUGGAGGAGUACCGAAGGCGUGGGCAUCCACCAGGACGAAAAUUGCUGCUGUGGUGGUAGAGUGAUGGGUACUUGCAG
rnacentral:rRNA from 1 species